UACGUAGGGUGCAAGCGUUUGUCCGGAAUUAUUGGGCGUAAAGAGCUCGUAGGCGGUUUGUCGCGUCUGCUGUGAAAACUGGAGGCUCAACCUCCAGCCUGCAGUGGGUACGGGCAAACUAGAGUGCGGUAGGGGAGAUUGGAAUUCCUGGUGUAGCGGUGGAAUGCGCAGAUAUCAGGAGGAACACCGAUGGCGAAGGCAGAUCUCUGGGCCGUAACUGACGCUGAGGAGCGAAAGCAUGGGGAGCGAACAGG
rnacentral:rRNA from 1 species